CACAAUAACAGUUUAGGUAAUUGUUGUAAAUAAAGUUUGAUAAAACAGUAACAUCUAACAAAUAUAAAACAUUUUCCGUGUUGAUAUACAGUUAUAUCAACACGAAUGGAAAUUGUGUGGAAUACCGUUAUCGAUCCGACAUGGCGCAAAUUGAAUGGUGUAAAAAAUUGAAAAUCUUCCUCAAUGUUCUUAAAAUUACUAUGGGAAAUAAGGAUACAGUUGCGCGUUUUUCAUGUGUACGUUCACGCACGGAAAAGUUGAAAUCUCUUUAAAUGUUACUUUUGAAAUAACUGAAUGAUUAGAAAGACAGCGCUUUUAGUUUUGUGUAUGAUUUAAAGUUUGUUGGUUGAGUUAAUCGGUAAUUAUAUAAAAUUGAGGAUGAUUUCAACUUUUCAGUGCGUGUACGUCCGUAUGAAAAACGCGUAACUGGAAUGCAGCCUUUAGGAUCCAGAAUCAUGACAUCCACUUUUUUCCAGAUCUGGUUGGAAACCUUGGUGAAAGGUGAGCCAGUUGGGAUAAAGUCCCGAUGCAAAGUGCUCACAUAGGAAAACGCUGUCCCGUGACAAUUAGCCUUUCUCACGCCGCCAUUUUUGGGUGGCUUUUCAGCCGAAGUCUGCGAUAUAAGUCCACAUAAUAGCGAGCGAAUUUUUUGGACGAAUGAUGGUAAAUUUGCUUUUGUAAAUGGUUAGUUUAUUUUGAAAAAUUGCUUUUUACAUUGUUUUAAUUGUCUGCAUUGGUUAACGAGAAUUAGAUGCCACCCAAAAAUGGCGGGAUUCUAGUGACUAUAUAGGGCUGUUCGGUAUACCGAUAUACCGAAUAUAUCGGUAAUCAAUAUCGGUAUAUCGAUACCGGAUAUUCAACCAUACCGAUAUACCGAAAUUUCGGAUAUACCGGAAUUUUUCGGUAUACCGUGUUAAAUUUACCAACUAUAUGACGAAACCAUAACCUUUAUUUUACUACUGAAUGGCAAUUCAAAGAACUUUCUACUGCAAUGAUUUAGAAUUUCCACUUCAGUGAGAUUUUACACUGAGUACGUGCAUGUCGUUCGAAACAUGUUCGAAACAGCUUCGAAAUUAUCGUUUUCCCUUUUAGAAUUACUCAAAAUUUCCUUCAAACUUCCAUUAAAGACUUUUCCUUCAUAAUUAUCAAAAGAAAACCGGCAUACCGAUAAUAUCGGUAUAAUUUUUUCGGUAUACCGAUACCGGAAAUUUCUCAUACCGAAUAUUCUUCUACAUCGUGAGAAAGGCUGAUUGGGCCUAAAAUUAGGUAGGAAUAUAUUUUAGUUUUCCUUACGCGUUAUUGACCCAAUUCAAGAUGAAGACAUAAGGAAACAUGAAUGGUGAAAUAGAAAUGGCAUGUAGUAAAACACUGACUACCGGAACACCACCGGAACACCGCCGGAACACC